rnacentral:rRNA from 1 species
UACGAAGGGUGCAAGCGUUACUCGGAAUUACUGGGCGUAAAGCGUGCGUAGGUGGUUUGUUAAGUCUGAUGUGAAAGCCCUGGGCUCAACCUGGGAAUUGCAUUGGAUACUGGCAGGCUAGAGUGCGGUAGAGGAUGGCGGAAUUCCCGGUGUAGCAGUGAAAUGCGUAGAGAUCGGGAGGAACAUCUGUGGCGAAGGCGGCCGGCUGGGGGCGCCCUGACGCUGAGGCGCGAGAGCGUGGGGAGCAAACCGG